GUCCUUUUGUUUAUUAAUUUAAGGUUUGGCCUGCCCAAUGAGGAAUUCAAUGGCCGCAGUAUUUUAACUGUGCUAAGGUAGCAUAAUCAUUUGUCUUUUAAUUAAGGGCUGGAAUGAAGGGUUGGACGAGGCAUUAGCUUUCUUUGAUUUAAUUUAGGAAUUUAAUUUUUGAGUUAAAAAGCUUAAAUUUAUUUGUGGGACGAGAAGACCCUAUAGAUCUUUAUAAUUUUAUGCUUUAAUAAUUUAGGGAUUUAUAUGUUUUAAGCAGAUGAAUUAUUUUGUUGGGGUGACUGUAGAAUUUAAAUAACUUCUAUUUUUUAUUUUCAUUAAUUAAUGUUUUUUUGAUCCAUAAUUUAUGAUUAGAAGAAUAAGUUACCUUAGGGAUAACAGCGUAAUUUCCUCGGAGAGUUCAUAUUGAUGAGGGAGUUUGCGACCUCGAUGUUGGAUUAAAAUAAGUUGUAGAUGCAGGAGUCUAUUUACUAGGUCUGUUCGACCUUUGAAUUUUU
rnacentral:rRNA from 1 species